rnacentral:rRNA from 1 species
UACGUAGGGGGCAAGCGUUGUCCGGAAUCACUGGGCGUAAAGGGCGCGUAGGUGGCGCGGGAAGUCAACGGUGAAAGUUCAGGGCUCAACCCUGAAUCGGCCGUCGAUACUCCCGGGCUUGAGCACUGUAGAGGCAGAUGGAAUUCCGGGUGUAGCGGUGGAAUGCGUAGAGAUCCGGAAGAACACCGGUGGCGAAGGCGGCCUGCUGGGCAGUGCUGACACUGAGGCGCGACAGCGUGGGGAGCAAACAGG